rnacentral:rRNA from 1 species
GAUGAACGCUGGCGGCGUGCCUAAUACAUGCAAGUCGAGCGAACAGACGAGGAGCUUGCUCCUCUGACGUUUGCGGCGGACGGGUGAGUAACACGUGGAUAACCUACCUAUAAGACUGGGACAACUUCGGGAAACCGGAGCUAAUACCGGAUAAUAUAAUGAACCGCAUGGUUCAAUAGUGCAAAACGGUUUUGCUGUCACCAAUAGAUGGAUCCGCGCCGCAUUAGCUAGUUGGUAAGGUAACGGCUUACCAAGGUAACGAUGCGGAGCCGACCUGAGAGGAUGAUCGGCCACACUGGAACUGAGACACGGGCCAGACUCCUAAGGGAGGCAGCAGUAGGGAAUCUUCCGCAAUGGGCGAAAGGCUGGCGGAGCAACACCGCGUGAGUGAUGAAGGUCUUCGGAGCGUAAAACUCUGUUAUUAGGGAAAAACAAAUGUAUAAGUAACUAUGCACGUCUUGACGGUACCUAAUCAGAAAGCCACGGCUAACUACGUG